UACAGAGGGUGCAAGCGUUGUUCGGAAUUAUUGGGCGUAAAGGGCGCGUAGGCGGUUCGGCAAGUCUCUAGUGAAAUCUCAGGGCUCAACUCUGAGUCUGCUGGGGAAACUGCCGGGCUUGAGUGUGGGAGAGGAGAGUGGAAUUCCCGGUGUAGCGGUGAAGUGCGUAGAUAUCGGGAGGAACACCUGUGGCGAAAGCGGCUCUCUGGACCACAACUGACGCUGAGGCGCGAAAGCUAGGGGAGCAAACAGG
rnacentral:rRNA from 1 species